rnacentral:lncRNA from 1 species
UUUCGGAUGUAAUUUGCAAGAGUUUCUAGUUCAACAUAAUACCCUUUCUAUAUUUGAAAAAUAGAUUAAUCAAAAUACCAAUCAUUGUGUACUUAUCUCCCAUCUUAAAAUCCUGUUACAAAUAUUAUUGUAUUUUUCAAAAACAUUUUCCAUCUUCUAAUAAGGACCAUUCAAAUCAUAAACAUGAUUGCAAGGGAGGAGGGAGAAGGAAAUAAAUAAUAAAAUUGACAAGAAUUACUCCGAUGUCGAUUCUCAAUUCUACCAUGAGGACAACAAGGACUUACUACUAUAACUCUGCAAGAAAUCCUCAGAGUUACACUCCAUCUUUUACCAGGUGUAGAAAAAGUGAUGCUACCUUCUAAAAAUAUAGUUUUGAAUACGUGUUGUUGAUUAAAUCUUUAAGUUCCGAUUAUUUUUGAAUAGCUUAGAUUCUAAGUCUUUGUUUAAUGUAUAUGUUGUCAACAAAAAUUCUGUAUAUGUCGAGAUGGAGACAAGAAGAGCCCUUAUAGGCAACCCACGCCGGGAAGACUAUCUCGGACAUCAUGAAGGCCUUAAACAUCAGCAAGGCCACACUCUGUCGGAUCCGAAAUAGUAAGGCUGAUGAGGACAAACUCAAGAGAAGAAGACCCACCAAAGUGAAACCUGAAGAGAUCAUGGAGGCUUUUAAGGUGAACCCGACGAAGAAGAUAUCAAAGUACGGCAAGAAAAA